AUAAAAUUUAAUAGAAACAUGUCUAACCAGUGUUGUAGCGUUUAAGCUAUCCAUUGUCAUUCACAAAACCAUUCCCUAGAGAAACAGAACUAUUUUUAAAUAUCAUAUACACUCAUCCGUUUCGACUCAGGAGAUGUAAUCUCAACUUGGCCAUGUCGUCGUAAAUCGUGGUAGCGGGAAGAUUCGUAACUCGCGGUCAAGCUCCGUCGGGUGAAACCCCCGGUAUCCCGGAAGAGGCCCAGCGAGGAGACCAGCGGACGAAGCCGUGGUUGCUGCCCUGAUGUCUGGUCCUCGCGUGCCGAAACUAAAACAAAAUAAAUAAUAUGGCGAAGCCAAUAAUCUAUAGCU